rnacentral:rRNA from 1 species
GAUAAACGCUGGCGGCAUGCUUUACACAUGCAAGUCGAACGGUAACAGGCCGCAAGGUGCUGACGAGUGGCGAACGGGUGAGUAAUGCAUCGGAACGUGCCCAGUCGUGGGGGAUAACGCAGCGAAAGCUGCGCUAAUACCGCAUACGAUCUGUGGAUGAAAGCGGGGGACCGAAAGGCCUCGCGCGAUUGGAGCGGCCGAUGUCAGAUUAGGUAGUUGGUGGGGUAAAGGCCCACCAAGCCAACGAUCUGUAGCUGGUCUGAGAGGACGACCAGCCACACUGGGACUGAGACACGGCCCAGACUCCUACGGGAGGCAGCAGUGGGGAAUUUUGGACAAUGGGCGCAAGCCUGAUCCAGCAAUGCCGCGUGCAGGAAGAAGGCCUUCGGGUUGUAAACUGCUUUUGUACGGAACGAAACGGCUCUGGUUAAUACCUGGGGCUAAUGACGGUACCGUAAGAAUAAGCACCGGCUAACUACGUGCCAGCCGCCGCCGUAACAC